rnacentral:rRNA from 1 species
GACGAACGCUGGCGGCGUGCUUAACACAUGCAAGUCGAACGGAAAGGCCCUGCUUGCAGGGUACUCGAGUGGCGAACGGGUGAGUAACACGUGGGUGAUCUGCCCUGCACUUCGGGAUAAGCCUGGGAAACUGGGUCUAAUACCGGAUAGGAGCCAUUUUUAGUGUGAUGGUUGGAAAGUUUUUUCGGUGUAGGAUGAGCUCGCGGCCUAUCAGCUUGUUGGUGGGGUAAUGGCCUACCAAGGCGGCGACGGGUAGCCGGCCUGAGAGGGUGGACGGCCACAUUGGGACUGGGAUACGGCCCAGACUCCUACGGGAGGCAGCAGUGGGGAUUAUUGCACAAUGGGCGCAAGCCUGAUGCAGCGACGCCGCGUGGGGAUGACGGCCUUCGGGUUGUAAACUCCUUUCGCUAGGGACGAAGCUUUUUGUGACGGUACCUAGAUAAGAAGCACCGGCUAACUACGUG